AGCACAACUAUGCAAGGGUGGUCGCAGCUAGCCAAGGUAUGGUGGGUGUGCCAAGGCAUGGCUAGGUGGCCGCGUGAACACGGCAAUUGGCGAUGCACACCACCUGUUGGGCGAAAUGUGUGGCCCACGGAAGAAGAUGGCCGUGGCCGAGGCAUGGACUCAUCAAGGUGAACGGCGACACCCACAGCCAAAAAGUACGUCGACAAGGCCACCAAGAAGGAGGUCAAGGACAUCUUUCGGCCGCUAUGACCGCACCCUCCUCGUCGCCGACCCCAGGCGCUGCGAGCCCAAGAAGUUUGGUGGGCGCGGAGGGGUCGGGCGAGAUAGGCCAACAAGUGCACUUGAAUGCUGGAUCUAGGCAAAUGCUUCCAUACUAGGAACAAUACUCUAAUGAAACAUCGAGUUGCUCCAGAACAAUAACAAUGCACAAGACGGAAUUUUCUGACCCAAAUCUUAAGCUGGCCAUCAGAUUUUAACUCAGGAGAGCUGCAUGUUAUAUUGAAAAGUAGGAAACGCCCAGAGGGGCGAAGGUAAAAUUUACAAGGCAGAACAAGAAAAACGGAGCUCCAACAGCUGCCAAGUGGGAUUAAUAUGUUUGAUCUUGCUAAUAUUGACAUAGUGUACUGGUCAACUCCAUUGAGGGUGCGGCAAAGCCGCGCUGUGUUUCUAGUAUAUACUUAUUAUCAUUUGAAUGGACAACACACAAUCAGGAGCUAGCACAAGUGCA